rnacentral:rRNA from 1 species
GACAGAGGGGGCAAGCGUUGCUCGGAAUCACUGGGCGUCAAGGGCGCGUAGGCGGGAUGGCAAGUCAGUCGUGAAAUCUCUCGGCUCAACCGAGAAACGUCGGCUGAUACUGCCGUUCUUGAGGGAUGCAGAGGAGACUGGAAUUCCCGGUGUAGCGGUGAAAUGUGUAGAGAUCGGGAGGAACACCGGUGGCGAAGGCGGGUCUCUGGGCAUCUCCUGACGCUGAGGCGCGAAAGCGUGGGGAGCAAACGGG